AACGAACGCUAUCGGUAUGCUUAACACAUGCAAGUCGGACGGACUAAUUAGGGCUUGCUCCAAUUAGUUAGUGGCAGACGGGUGAGUAACACGUGGGAAUCUGCCCAUCAGUACGGAAUAACUUUUAGAAAUAAAAGCUAAUACCGUAUAUUCUCUACAGAGGAAAGAUUUAUCGCUGAUGGAUGAGCCCGCGUCAGAUUAGGUAGUUGGUGAGGUAACGGCUCACAAAGCCGACGAUCUGUAGCUGGUCUGAGAGGAUGAUCAGCCACACUGGGACUGAGACACGGCCCAGACUCCUACGGGAGGCAGCAGUGGGGAAUAUUGGACAAUGGGCGAAAGCCUGAUCCAGCAAUACCGAGUGAGUGAUAAAGGCCCUAGGGUUGUAAAGCUCUUUUAGCAAGGAAGAUAAUGACGUUACUUGCAGAAAAAGCCCCGGCUAACUCCGU
rnacentral:rRNA from 1 species